rnacentral:lncRNA from 1 species
GUAGCUAAAACAAGAAAUGCCUCAAUCAUAUCAAAUCAUGCAUAUUCACCUCAGUUGCACAACACAGAAUCAAGCUAAAUAUUAGAGUAUCAUCAAAACAUGGGCAAAUCACUCAAGAAAAAUAGGUAUGGCACAUGAUNGUCCAUCCUUAUCAUUAGGCUCAAAACACACAUGGUUCAAAUUUCUUUCACAAAAGAUUUAAUUAGGAAAUUCUCAAUUCAACUCAAUCAGCAAAUCAUAAAAGUAAUACAUUCAUAUCAACAUGACUCUUUUUUUUNUAUAUA